rnacentral:rRNA from 1 species
GACGAACGCUGGCGGCGUGCUUAACACAUGCAAGUCGUACGGUAAGGCCCUUUCGGGGGUACACGAGUGGCGAACGGGUGAGUAACACGUGAGUAACCUGCCCACAACUUUGGGAUAACGCUAGGAAACUGGUGCUAAUACUGGAUAUGUGCUCCUGCUGCAUGGUGGGGGUUGGAAAGCUCCGGCGGUUGUGGAUGGACUCGCGGCCUAUCAGCUUGUUGGUGGGGUAGUGGCCUACCAAGGCGGCGACGGGUAGCCGGCCUGAGAGGGUGACCGGCCACAUUGGGACUGAGAUACGGCCCAGACUCCUACGGGAGGCAGCAGUGGGGAAUAUUGCACAAUGGGCGCCAGCCGGAUGCAGCAACGCCGCGGGCGGGAUAACGGCCUUCGGGUUGUAAACCGCUUUCAGCAGGGACGAAGCUUUUUGUGACGGUACCUGCAGAAGAAGCACCGGCUAACUACGUG